UACUUUCGAGGCGAGCCGCAACGCGUCUCAAACAAGCCUAGCGAAUGAGACACACAGACACAGACACACACACACCUUGAGGGAGGGAGGGAGGGAGGGACAGCUGAUCGCCGUGCAGCAAUCAGCUGUUCCCGAGCAGAGAGAGAGAGAGAGAGCUGCUAGACACAACUCUUAUUAAUCCCCGUACCAGAUACUAUACAAUGCUAACGGAGGCGAGACGUACGUUAUUCACACGCUUAUCCACACGUACGUUAUUCACGCGCAUAUACACACGUACGUUAUCAACACGCAUAUAUAAGAUAGGGCUUUCUAAGCUACGCCGCCGCCACGUGAGCGCGUACUUUGAGCGCACCUAUGAUACGUCGCCGUGACGUCGCCUGUAUUGUACGUCAACCCAUUCAAAAUUGAUGGAGGCGUUGGCGCACGUUGACACGUCAGUUCUCCGCUCAGUUAGUUUACUUAUCUGUUCUUUGGCACAAGUCACACCUCAUAGUCUUGCGCUUAGCUCCCGGCUGGGUAUGCUGGUGUUACGACGUCCAUCCAGGGGACACGAGUGGAGUCCAGUUGUCUUUAGUCUUCGUUUCGGUAGCUAGCUCGCUCGAUGCUAAAACAAUCCUGGUGUUGUUUAGUUGUAGGCCUAUAAGUCACGCUGAAUGGCAUGCUAUUAUGAUUAACAAUAAAACAACAACCUCCGUAUAGCUCACCCUGAAAGGAGGUACAAGUACAGUCAAACUCUAUCUACUUCUAAUAUUAUUAUAUUUUUUGACAGUGCCGACCGGUCUCGAACCCGUGUCUUCCGCACGUCGCCUAUAGAGUGGCCUGUACCUAGGCUGCCGCGCUAACAGAUGGUGCUCUACACCCACAUUGGCUUGAGAUCUGACAUUCUGGUUAGGGUCCAGAGUGAAGAAGAAGUCAAGGCCGGGGAUGUUAGUGCCAGAGCAUUCAAUGGCUAACGUGUGUGACUUCUUGUCGUUGUUCUCAGAUGGGCAGCCACAUUUCAGAGGUGGUGCAGGAGAGCGAGGCUCCGAUGCAGCAGGUGGAGCUGCUGCCGCUGCACAGGGAGCAGGAGAGGGAGGUGCUAACUGCACAGGCUGAACACACUAAAGCCCCGGCCACACGAGGAC